UGACGAGUGGCGCACGGGUGCGUAACGCGUAUGCAACCUACCCUUUACUGGGGGAUAGCCCGGAGAAAUUCGGAUUAAUACCCCAUGGUACUAUAAUAUAGCAUUAUAUAAUAGUUAAAGAUUUAUUGGUAAAGGAUGGGCAUGCGUGACAUUAGUUAGUUGGUAAGGUAACGGCUUACCAAGACGAUGAUGUCUAGGGGUUCUGAGAGGAUGGUCCCCCACACUGGUACCGAGACACGGACCAG
rnacentral:rRNA from 1 species